rnacentral:tRNA from 1 species
GCGCGUUAUAGCUUAGCGGCGCACUUUAGUUAGCAGUUAAAAAUUGUUAUAGAAACAACGGUUUUCUAAGGUUCGAAUCCUAGACUGCGCA